GGAGGGGUGGCCGAGUGGUCUAUGGCGACGGUCUUGAAAACCGCUGUCGGUGCAAACCGACCGUGGGUUCGAAUCCCACCCCCUCCG
rnacentral:tRNA from 1 species